ACGCACGCUGGCGGCGUGCUUAACACAUGCAAGUCGAACGGAAAGGCCCUGCUUUUGUGGGGUGCUCGAGUGGCGAACGGGUGAGUAACACGUGAGUAACCUGCCCUUGACUUUGGGAUAACUUCAGGAAACUGGGGCUAAUACCGGAUAGGAGCUCCUGCUGCUUGGUGGGGGUUGGAAAGUUUCGGCGGUUGGGGAUGGACUCGCGGCUUAUCAGCUUGUUGGUGGGGUAGUGGCUUACCAAGGCUUUGACGGGUAGCCGGCCUGAGAGGGUGACCGGCCACAUUGGGACUGAGAUACGGCCCAGACUCCUACGGGAGGCAGCAGUGGGGAAUAUUGCACAAUGGGCGGAAGCCUGAUGCAGCAACGCCGCGUGCGGGAUGACGGCCUUCGGGUUGUAAACCGCUUUCGCCUGUGACGAAGCGUGAGUGACGGUAAUGGGUAAAGAAGCACCGGCUAACUACGUG
rnacentral:rRNA from 1 species